UACAGAGGUCCCAAGCGUUGUUCGGAUUUACUGGGCGUAAAGGGAGCGUAGGUGGUGCGGUAAGCCCUCCGGGAAAGCUUCAGGCUUAACCUGAAAAGGUCGGGGGGGACUGCCGCGCUAGAGGACGGGAGAGGAGCGCGGAAUUCCCGGUGUAGCGGUGAAAUGCGUAGAGAUCGGGAGGAAGGCCGGUGGCGAAGGCGGCGCUCUGGAACGUGACUGACGCUGAGACGCGCAAAGCA
rnacentral:rRNA from 1 species